rnacentral:lncRNA from 1 species
AAGAUAGGAGGCAGCUGGAAACCUACUUGUCAGGAGCCCACUAGUUGCCAAAAGUCUUCACAAAUUGUUUCAAAGGAUCCUUUUAUUGGCCAUAGGUAGGUCUAUUAUCUUCACUUUAGAAAGUGGGACUCCAUGGGUCAGAGAAGCUAAGCAAUUUGCCUAAGGUCAUGUGGCAAAUAGAAGUAAGGCUGGAAGAGAACACUGUGUCUGAACAUAACAGAGCUCGAGAUAAACGUCUCACUCAGUAGGCCUCUCACCGUCAUCUCUCUUCACUGCCCUUCCACACAGACAGGAGAGGAGUAAUGGCCAUGGCUGCCCUGGGCCUCUCUCUGCAGGAUGCAGGCAGCUGCCGUCCGGUGGAAGCUCUAAGUUCAGAAAUAAAGGCCAUAACCUGCCGAGCGUAUUUGUAGUAAGAUGCCAUACAAAUUCAAGGAACCACCUGUGGGAGAAGGCUGACAUACAUAUUUAUUUCUUCCAACUAGACCUAUGGUGCAACACAUCCACUAAAUCUGUAAUCCAGAGCGUUUAUUUACUGUGUGUAGGUGUCACUUAGAAGCAGGCACCUUCAUUAAAAAAAAAAAAAAAACAAAAAUCAGGUUCGUCUCAUGGAAGAACAUUCUACAGACUGUGGACAGAGGAAGUCUUUUCUGUUACCAGAGAGCAAGCCCAUGCACCGAACGGACCACUCUUGCUCUCUUGUAGUCUCAUCCUUGAGCAGGAAAGCAGAGCUGUAUCACAUGUGAAUCUGAAGGACAAAAGCAGCCCUGGAGACGCCAAGCAAUAGUCUAUGUUACAGGUUUAACACACUCCUUUAAUUUCAUUGGAAAAAAAUAAUGAACCCGGAGAAAAGUAUUUAUGGAACUGGAGGAGAGCAUAUUUUGCUGGUUUUACUUUAUGUUUGAAGUUUUGGGGAUAGCUCUGCCCAUAAAUACUGAAAUGCCUAGCAUAAAGAACGCAGCCUGGGGCAUACCCCAUAAAACGUACAGUGCAAUUAAAUGAGCAAUUUCCACUGGAAAUAAAACGGGCAUGUUGAGCGGAAUAUGAAUUAAACUAUGCAUAGGACUUGGGCUCGUGCUAGGAAUCUGCUGGGUUCGGUAGCAGCUGAUGCAGUCCAUCUAUAGGUCAAGGCCAGAAAGUAAG